UCCGGUUCCGGGUUCAUGAAUUUAUUAGACAGGGCUUUUCUGAUUUGGGCCUCCGUUCUCUUCUCCUUUCAUUUUGUGAAUAGCAACUGGGUACACUUCAAUUAUCUCCUACUAUGGACCUUUAGUAAACUAUCCUGGGCCAUUCAUAGUUUUCUAUUAAACAUUCUGUUUAACAAAAAACUAGGGGGCAAUGUUGGGUCGUGAUAUUUCAUAUCUUUGGGCCAGGUACAUUGGGCCUACUCACAUAAACAAUCUAUUGGGCCUCUAUUAUUAAUCCGUGAAAGUCACUGGGCCCGGUCACCAUAUUGUAUCCAUUUUAACCUUUAAGGCCGAGUCGGUCCAUUGGAUCGACCCAUUAGAUAUUUUAAUAUCUGUUACUUUGACUUGUGAUGAUGAAAAAGCAUGACGGUUGACCAAAGCUCCUGCCAUGCAUUAAUGUGGAUGGGAUCAUAGCCGGCCGGCGGUAGAAAACCGUGGCCAAAAGCAGUGGAUAAGCUACAUAUAGUCGGCAGAA
rnacentral:lncRNA from 1 species